UACGUAGGGUGCAAGCGUUAAUCGGAAUUACUGGGCGUAAAGCGUGCGCAGGCGGUUGUGCAAGACAGAUGUGAAAUCCCCGGGCUCAACCUGGGAAUUGCAUUUGUGACUGCACGGCUAGAGUGUGUCAGAGGGGGGUAGAAUUCCACGUGUAGCAGUGAAAUGCGUAGAGAUGUGGAGGAAUACCGAUGGCGAAGGCAGCCCCCCUGGGAUAACACU
rnacentral:rRNA from 1 species